CCAAUAGCGUAUAUUAAAGUUGUUGCAGUUAAAAAGCUCGUAGUUGAAUUUCGGGGUCAAUACGUCGGUCGUGCCUUCGGUACGUACUGGUGUUAUUGAUCUCUCCCUUCUGAUGAAUCACGAUGUCAUUAAUUUGGUGUCGUGGGGAGUCAGGACUGUUACUUUGAAAAAAUUAGAGUGUUUAGAGCAGGCUCACGCUUGAAUACAUUAGCAUGGAAUAAUGAAAUAGGACGUUCGAUCCUAUUUUGUUGGUUUCUAGGAUCAACGUAAUGAUUAAUAGGGAUAGUUGGGGGCAUUAGUAUUCAAUUGUCAGAGGUGAAAUUCUUGGAUUUAUUGAAGACUAACUACUGCGAAAGCAUUUGCCAAGGAUGUUUUCAUUAAUCAAGAACGAAAGUUAGGGGAUCGAAGACGAUCAGAUACCGUCGUAGUCUUAACCAUAAACUAUGCCGACUAGGGAUCGGAUGAUGUUAAUUUUUUAAUGACUCAUUCGGCGCCUUACG
rnacentral:rRNA from 1 species